AGGACGAACGCUGGCGGCGUGCUUAACACAUGCAAGUCGAGCGGAAAGGCCCUUCGGGGUACUCGAGCGGCGAACGGGUGAGUAACACGUGAGCAACCUGCCCUUAGCUCCGGGAUAGCUCCGGGAAACCGGAAUUAAUACCGGAUAUGACCACGGCCGACAUCUGCUGUGGUGGAAAGGAUUCCGGCUAAGGAUGGACUCGCGGCCUAUCAGCUAGUUGGUGGAGUAACGGCCCACAAGGCGACGACGGGUA
rnacentral:rRNA from 1 species